AAAAAGUCUUCAUGUUAGACCAUCUGCUCGCUGGAAGCUUUUGUGACAACAAACACCACCAAGAUGGAGAAACCAUUGAGAGAAGCAAGCAAACAAAUCAUAAACAGGCAAUACGAGUAAAAAAGCAUCUGGUGAUUUCUUCGAAGUUCCUUCCUAGAAGCUAUUAAUUGAAAAAUACACUGAAGAAGUAGAUUCAGAGGAGACAAGGGAAAAAUGGACAAAACAUUUCAAUACCAUGACCAUGUUGCAACGCUUUAUCUAUUUUCUCAGCAAUAAAAAUAGGCAAUCAAUUGCUAAUUAUCUGGA